rnacentral:rRNA from 1 species
AAUCCAUAGGUUAAUGAGGCGAACCGGGGGAACUGAAACAUCUAAGUACCCCGAGGAAAAGAAAUCAACCGAGAUUCCCCCAGUAGCGGCGAGCGAACGGGGAGGAGCCCAGAGCCUGAAUCAGCAUGUGUGUUAGUGGAAGCGUCUGGAAAGGCGCGCGAUACAGGGUGACAGCCCCGUACACAAAAGCGCAUGUGCUGUGAGCUCGAUGAGUAGGGCGGGACACGUGGUAUCCUGUCUGAAUAUGGGGGGACCAUCCUCCAAGGCUAAAUACUCCUGACUGACCGAUAGUGAACCAGUACCGUGAGGGAAAGGCGAAAAGAACCCCGGCGAGGGGAGUGAAAAAGAACCUGAAACCGUGUACGUACAAGCAGUGGGAGCACAGGUUUACCUGUGUGACUGCGUACCUUUUGUAUAAUGGGUCAGCGACUUAUAUUCUGUAGCAAGGUUAACCGUAUAGGGGAGCCGUAGGGAAACCGAGUCUUAACCGGGCGUUAAGUUGCAGGGUAUAGACCCGAAACCCGGUGAUCUAGCCAUGGGCAGGUUGAAGGUUGGGUAACACUAACUGGAGGACCGAACCGACUAAUGUUGAAAAAUUAGCGGAUGACCUGUGGCUGGGGGUGAAAGGCCAAUCAAACCGGGAGAUAGCUGGUUCUCCCCGAAAGCUAUUUAGGUAGCGCCUCGUGAAUUCAUCUCCGGGGGUAGAGCACUGUUUCGGCUAGGGGGCCAUCCCGGCUUACCAACCCGAUGCAAACUGCGAAUACCGGAGAAUGUUAUCACGGGAGACACACGGCGGGUGCUAACGUCCGUCGUGAAGAGGGAAACAACCCAGACCGCCAGCUAAGGUCCCAAAGUCAUGGUUAAGUGGGAAACGAUGUGGGAAGGCCCAGACAGCCAGGAUGUUGGCUUAGAAGCAGCCAUCAUUUAAAGAAAGCGUAAUAGCUCACUGGUCGAGUCGGCCUGCGCGGAAGAUGUAACGGGGCUAAACCAUGCACCGAAGCUGCGGCAGCGAACGUAUCACCCAAGACAACUUUGCGGAGUUGACGAUUGACGGAGCGAAGCGACGUCAAAGCGUUCAUUAAAGUCGAGUUGGCUUAGGGAUACGUUCGUUGGGUAGGGGAGCGUUCUGUAAGCCUGUGAAGGUGGCCUGUGAGGGUUGCUGGAGGUAUCAGAAGUGCGAAUGCUGACAUAAGUAACGAUAAAGCGGGUGAAAAGCCCGCUCGCCGGAAGACCAAGGGUUCCUGUCCAACGUUAAUCGGGGCAGGGUGAGUCGACCCCUAAGGCGAGGCCGAAAGGCGUAGUCGAUGGGAAACGGGUUAAUAUUCCCGUACUUGGUGUUACUGCGAAGGGGGGACGGAGAAGGCUAUGUUGGCCGGGCGACGGUUGUCCCGGUUUAAGCGUGUAGGUGUGUGUUCCAGGUAAAUCCGGUUCACUUUAACACUGAGGCGUGACGACGAGGCACUACGGUGCUGAAGCAACAAAUGCCCUGCUUCCAGGAAAAGCCUCUAAGCAUCAGGUAACAUCAAAUCGUACCCCAAACCGACACAGGUGGUCAGGUAGAGAAUACCAAGGCGCUUGAGAGAACUCGGGUGAAGGAACUAGGCAAAAUGGUGCCGUAACUUCGGGAGAAGGCACGCUGAUAUGUAGGUGAAGCGGUUUACCCGUGGAGCUGAAAUCAGUCGAAGAUACCAGCUGGCUGCAACUGUUUAUUAAAAACACAGCACUGUGCAAACACGAAAGUGGACGUAUACGGUGUGACGCCUGCCCGGUGCCGGAAGGUUAAUUGAUGGGGUCAGCGCAAGCGAAGCUCCUGAUCGAAGCCCCGGUAAACGGCGGCCGUAACUAUAACGGUCCUAAGGUAGCGAAAUUCCUUGUCGGGUAAGUUCCGACCUGCACGAAUGGCGUAAUGAUGGCCAGGCUGUCUCCACCCGAGACUCAGUGAAAUUGAACUCGCUGUGAAGAUGCAGUGUACCCGCGGCAAGACGGAAAGACCCCGUGAACCUUUACUAUAGCUUGACACUGAACAUUGAGCCUUGAUGUGUAG